UUUCAUACUAUGGGUAUAUGUGUUGUUGUAGGGACCAUGGUCUCAGAGGCGCAUAACAACCGUGCGGAGUACGACAAGUCUUUGCAUGAAGCGCGCCGGGAGAUCGACUUGAAGGUGCAAAAGGAUCGCGCUGAGGUAGAUAAGAAACUCAAAAAAGAACGUUCAUACGUGGACAGGAUGAUAAAGGAGGAGCGUGAGGAGUUUUCCCAUAAGAUGGCGAAGAUGUGUCUUGAGAUUGAAGAAAAGUAUAAGCGGGACUGUGAGGACAUGGAAAAAAAGUUUUUCCUUGGCUACAAGGAAAUGCAUCAAACGUUACAAAAGGACCGGAAGCUUGUGGACAGUAUUAUACAGACAGAGCGAGUCAGGAUGGAUGCCUAUGUGUUGCAGGCACGUUCGGAAAUGGACAGUAAGCUGCUACAGGAGCGGUCGGACAUGGAUUAUAAGGCCAUGCUGGAGAAGGUCCGUUUGGAAGGACAUAUGUUAGAAGCCCGUGCG
rnacentral:rRNA from 1 species